GAUUAUCCUUGCAUGAUGACAGCAUGUGGGAGGGAAAAGGCUGAACAAUUGCGUAAUGUUGAGUAGGAUCGAUGGCGAGUAUUAUGGGAGUCGUUGCAGCAGCUUCAGAAGGAAGAGCUUCGGGUAAGAGCGCUUAAUGGUUGUUUGAGGUAAAGCUUUGGGAAAUCGGAGGCGUUAAUACACACCUCGCAGUGGUGAUCAUAAAAAAGUAGGCCGCUUGCGAGUCGCGAGAUGACUCUUUAUCAAGGUGCUACAUAGAUUGGUUACUACUUUUGC
rnacentral:lncRNA from 1 species